ensembl:lncRNA
CUUUAACCCAAGAGGCUGACAAAUUGACCUUUGGACAGGAUUUGACUUUGAAAAAUAAGACUGAGAUAUUGACAUUGCUACAAACAAUCUGGUUGCCUGGAGAGGUCGCCAUCAUCCAUUGACGCAGGUACCAGAAGGGGCUUAGCCCCAAGAUGAUUGGUAAUAAUGCUACUGACCAGGCAGCAAAACAAGCUGCCCAAAAAUCAGUGGGGAAACAAAUGAUUCUGUUUCCCACACGGGUACUCCCAGAAAAACCUGAAUAUACAGACAAAGAGAUAAUGGAAAUAAACAGGAGACACUGGACUCGAGGAAGACAUGGAUGGUGGAUGACUAAGGAGGGAAAGGUGGUGCUCCCAGCUGCUAUAGCAGACACGUUGCUGCGAGAACUACAUGAGUCCACCCACCUCUGUGAAAAAAGGAUGAUGGCCGCCUUAUGACCCCAUUUUGUCAGCCAGGGAUUAGCCCAAAAGGCCCAGGACAUGGUGAGAUGAUGCCCCACCUGCCUCAAGGUUUGAGUCCAAGACCCUGGAACCUCAUUAAAAGGGACCAGUUCCUAUUGUCCUGUCAACUCUCUGGGUGGUAAAGGUGGCUGGACAUUCUGCCUGGAUACAUCUCAACCAUCUAAAACCAAGACCCCCUGCGGACAUCAAAAAGGACAAAUGGAAGAUUAUCAGCCAACUGGGCGACCAAAAGCUAAGAUUGGAGUGGGUUGGAUAUGCUUCGCCUUCAUGAUAAUAUUUUCUAGGACAUUGACAGUAUUGCCCUCAGGAGAGUUAGAUCACACAAAAAAUAUAUGGAUUCAAUUGGCAAACUCACUUAAUCUAUCUGAAUUCUGUUUAAGUGUUGAUGUAAAUUUCCAUUAUGUAUUAGAAAGUUGUCUUAUCCCGGUAUGCACCCCUUUAGAGUCAAUACGGCCUUAUACUCUGUUUAAAGAUAUUCCAAAAAAGAACCUUACUUAUAUAGAUAGUUAUAAUUGGGGACCUGUCACAUGUCAUAAGCCUAAAAAUGCUGUCAAAUCGUAUACACCUAAAGUGAUCAUGUCAAAUAAGACUGAAUGUGCUGUAUAUGAAAACUGUACAACUAAAUGUUUAAAGAUCAAACGGUUAAAAAAAAAAUGUCCUGCCAUGUAGAACAAAAAAAUUCUAUAUAACAACUGCCAUAUUUCCUUGCCAAUGGGAUGGUUUUAUACCUGUGAAGGAGAAACUUUCAACUACAUUCCAGCCAAUUUAACCAAAACUCGCUGCUGUUUAAGUUGAUUAGCUGUAGUAUUACCAGAUAGAACUGAUUUGAUUGUACCUAACAGAACUAAACGGUGGUCACCUUAUACUGCACCAGGAUGUGAUGAUGAUGUGGGUCUGUUAACAGAUGCUGAAGUAAUAACCAUGAUAGCUUCUUUUGUUGCCCUGCCGUCUAUAGGAGUACAUGCUGAAAAGGCAGUACAAAAAUUAGCUUGUAAGGUAGUUAAAGGGUUAAAUGCCACUUCGUUGGCCUUGGCACUAAUCAACCAAGAGUUACAAAAACAGAGACAAGCAAUCUUAGACAAUAGAGCAGCAAUAGAUUACCUGUUGCUCUUCCACCACCAAGGCUGUGAAAAAGUAAAAAAUAUGUGUUGCUUCAAUCUAACUGAUAAUGAUCCAAAAAUUAAAAAGGAGAUAAAACAAUUAGAGGAUCUGGCUCAAAAAGUACAUGAUGAAGAUGGCAGGGACUUAUUCAAAUGGUUGACUUCGUGGUUACCCAAUCUACAAUGGUUGAAACAACUAUUUGUUGUCAUUAUAAUCAUACGUAUUUGCUUAUUAUUAUCAUGCUGUUGUAUACAAUAGAUGUCUACAUUUAUGUGUAAGAUUACUUAGAUUACAGAAAAUCAGUGGGGAAUGUGGGACUGUGUGAUUCAAAAGUUAAUUACUCCCCUAGGUUCUGUUGUAAGUUUGAUGGUUGGGUGUUUUUGCCUCAGGACAAUGGACAAUCAGUAAUAGGGCGAGAUUACUCAGCCAUCUGUUUGCCCUAAACCAAAUGUCCCGGGGCCCAGUAUCUAUAGGACAAUCUGUAAAUGUGCUGACUAUCCACACAGGGUGGUCGUGACUAUUAGUCAUGAUGUCUGCUGACCAUCAGCAUGUGACAGUGAGCCACUAACCUUUGUUCUUUUUUUCUGUGAAUCUACAUGUUAAACCCCCCUCAACCCCCUAUAAAACAGCCUCAGACUCUGAGCCAGUUGCCUCUCUGAGCUAUUUUGCUUUGGGAUUGCCAUCUGGCCAGACUAAUAAAGGUCUGUUUUUCCAACAUGGCCAGUGUGUUCCUUCCCGGGUGGUCUUUGCUGUAGUCAGCUCCUUGGAGCAUUUGGUAAGGACUUGGUCUUACAUUCUGG